UCAAGACGAUCCAUUCAUGUCUUGUGGGUGCUUUUGGCACAUGUGGAGCUUACAAGGUGCAAGGUGGAACAUUUUUGUAAACGCUUUC